UACAGAGGUCUCAAGCGUUGUUCGGAUUCAUUGGGCGUAAAGAGCUCGUAGGCGGCUGUUCAAGUCGAACGUGAAAACUCGGAGCUCAACUCCGAGCCUGCGUUCGAUACUGGAUGGCUAGAGUCUGGUAGGGGGAUCUGGAAUUCCUGGUGUAGCGGUGAAAUGCGCAGAUAUCAGGAAGAACACCCGUGGCUAAGGCGGCUCUCUAGUACGGUACUGACGCUGAGACGCGAAAGCGUGGGGAGCGAACAGG
rnacentral:rRNA from 1 species